GAUAAAGCGACUCAAGGGUAUAUGGUGGAUGCCUUGGUUGAAAAUGUCGAUGAAGGACGUUGUAGCCUGCGAUAAACUCCGGGUAGCUGGCAAACAAGCUAUGAUCCGGAGGUUUCCGAAUGGGAGAACCCAUCCAGAGUAAUGUCUGGAUACUCUAUACCGAAUUCAUAAGUAUAGUAGAGAUAAGCCAGUGAAUUGAAACAUCUCAGUAACUGGAAGAAAAAAUACCGAACGUAUUCCCUCAGUAGUGGCGAGCGAAAGGGGAAGAGCCCAAACUUAACAGGUAGGUCGAUUUUGAACCGGAAAGCUUCGGCUGGAAGGUUUGAUUGAGACGCCAGUGUAAUGGUGGUUGCAGUUAAGUGUUGUAGGACUUAGAGUGGAAUGUUUACGCAUAUUCCGAAUAAGUUACAAAUCCUAUUUUUAGUGGAAUAAGGUUGGAAAGCCAAACCGUAGAGGGUAAUAGUCCCGUACACGAAAAGAAUAGGACUUAUUUCUAAGUUCCUGAGUACUACGAUCAACGUUUGUUUUCGUAGGAAUCUACCCCAACCACGGGGUAAGGCUAAAUACAUUUUCAAACCGAUAGUGAACAAGUACCGUGAGGGAAAGGUGAAAAGUACCCCAGGAAGGGGAAUGAAAUAGUACCUGAAACCAUAUACCUACAAACAGUGGGAGCCUCAAUUUAUUGGGGUGACCGCGUGCCUAUUGAAGAAUGAGCCUGCGAGUUAUGUAGCUGAGCUUGGUUAAACUGUUCUGCAGUGAAGCCAUAGGGAAACCGAGUCUUAACGGGCGACUCUGUUCAGUUGCAUAGACCCGAAGCCGGGUGAUCUACCCAUGAGCAGGUUGAACCCUCGCGAAAGCGGGGGGAAGGACCGUACCGGUAAACAUUACAAAGUUUUCGGAUGACUUGUGGGUAGUGGUAACACGCCAAUCGAACCCGGCAAUAGCUGGUUCUCCUCGAAACAACUUUAGGGUUGGCCUUGGUUUCGAAACAUGUGGAGGUAGAGCACUGAUUGGGUUGAGGGCCCUUAUUGGGUACCUCGCUCUCUCAAACUACGAAUACCAUAUGUGAAUUGCCAGGAGUUAGACUGUGGGGGCUAAGCUUCACUAGUCAAAAGGGAAACAGCCCAGAUCAACGAUUAAGGUCCCUAAUCCUACGCUCAGUGGUAAAGGAUGUGGAAUUUCUAUGACAGCUAGGAGGUUUGCUUAGAAGCAGCAACCCUCUAAAGAGUGCGUAACAGCUCACUAGUCGAGAGAUUCUGCGCCGAUAAUUUAACGGGGCUCAAGCGUAGAACCGAAAUCAUGAAUCAUGUAAAGCGCAAGCUUUACGUGGAGGUAGAGGAGCAUUGUAUUCUGCUGUGAAGGUGCACCGGAAGGUAGUGCUGGAGCGUAUACAAGAGAGGAUGCAGGCAUGAGUAGCGCAAUCUCUGUGAAAAACAGGGACAUCGAAAGUUCAAGGUUUCCUCAGCCACGCUAGUCGUCUGAGGGUUAGUCGGUCCUAAGCUGAGGCCGAACGGCGUAAGCGAUGGACAACUGGUUAAUAUUCCAGUACUAUUUUAAAUUCGUUAUCAACUAAGGAGUAACGGAAUAUGCGAUUUUUUAGCCUCGAUAGGUCGGGGUACAAGUAGUUAGUCAGUUUUGUUUGGUAAAUCCGGCAAGACGAAAUCUCUCUUCGGAGAAAAUAGAUGAGCUACGACGUAAAGCUGAAGUCUUCGGACGGAUGUUAUUAAAAAUAGUAUGUUUCCAAGAAAAGCUUCUAUGUGAGAAUUUAGAGUAACCGUACCGCAAACCGACACUGGUGAACAGGUAGAAUAUACCAAGAUGGACGAAUUAUCCCUUGUUAAGGAAUUCGGCAAAUUACUACCGUAACUUCGGGAGAAGGUAGCCCCACUUUUGCUUGCAAAGGUGGGGGGCACAAAAAUGGCUCGAUCGACUGUUUAACAAAAACACAGGUUCUUGCUAACCCGCAAGGGGAUGUAUAAGAGCUGAUGCCUGCCCAAUGCUAGAAGAUCACAGAAGGAGGUUAUCCCUCGGGAGAAGCUUCUAACUUAAGUCCUAGUGAAUGGCGGCUGUAACUAUAACGGUCCUAAGGUAGCGAAGUUCCUCGGCGCUUAAUAGGCGUCCCGCAUGAAAGGCUUAACGAGUUGAGCACUGUCUUAACAAGGAGUUCGGCGAAAUUGAAAUGGCUGUGAAGAUGCGGCCUAUCCGUACCCGGACAAAAAGACCCCGGGAUCUUUACUAUAGCUUAGCAUUGAAAUUGAUGCUUUAUCGUAUAGUGUAGGAGGGAGACUUUGAAGUUCCAACGUCAGUUGGGAUGGAGUCACCAAUGUAACACCUCCCUAUAUUGUUUUAAUUUCUCACCUAUUUCCAUUAUCUGGAAAAGGGACAGUGUUUGGUGGGUAGUUUGACUGGGGCGGUUUCAUACUAAAGAGUAACGUAUGAUUGCAAAGGUCGGCUCAAGCUGGAUGGAAAUCAGCUGAAGAGCAUAAUGGUAUAAGCCGGCUUUACUGUGAGAAAGACAUUUCGAACAGUCACGAAAGUGGGCCAUAGUGACCCUUUGGCAACAAGUGGGAGUGCCAUUGUUUAAAGGAUAAAAGUUACCCCGGGGAUAACAGGCUAGUCUUGCCCAAGCGUCCAUAGCGACGGCAAGGUUCGGCACCUCGAUGUCGGCUCGUCGUAUCCUGGGGCUGUACAAGGUCCCAAGGGUUGGGCUGUUCGCCCAUUAAAACGGCACGUGAGCUGGGUUCAAACCGACGUGAGUCAGGUUGGUCUCUAUCCGGUACGGACGUUCGAAUUCUGAGAAGAUUGGCCCCUAGUACGAGAGGAUCGGGGCGAGGUAACCUCUGGUGCACCAGUUGUCCUACCAAGGGCAUAGCUGGGUAGCUAAGUUGCUAUUUGGAUAAGCGCUGAAAGCAUAUAAGCGCGAAGCCAGCUUCAAGAUUAGAAUUCGUCAUUAGACCCGCAGAAGAUUACUGCGUUGAUAGGCUCUAGGUGUAAGUUCCGUAAGGAAUUCAGCCAAGGAGUACUAAUUGGUCGAAAGCUUUAUCUU
rnacentral:rRNA from 1 species